rnacentral:lncRNA from 1 species
GAUGGUAAGGUUUCCUCGACGGUAAGUUUCACCGGUGGUAAGUUCCCCCAAGUAUUUUUCGCCAAUUUCUCCCAUAUUGCGCUGCUCUUAAUUUUCUUUGAUCUGUCAUCCCUCCCCCAUCUUCUUCCGCUUUUUUUGUCCUUUUUCCCCUCCCUUUUUCAGAGCUAUCAACCUUAAACCCUUUCCCCAAACACUCCGAGACACUGGCGGUACAGGAAGGGGGGUCCAAGGUUGACUGCUCGGAAGAUGUUUUUCUGAUGGGGAGUUUUUCACUUGUCGAGGAGUAGACAGUUGUUUGUUUUUCUGGAGGUUUUCAUUGGUUGAUGCAUUUCAUCGAACAGCUGGUGUGCAAGUUAUAAUGGCAUACAUACCGAGACAGAUUUCAGAUUCUUCCAUGGCAACCGUGGGUGAUGUGGAGGUAUAGCAGUGAUGGCGAGCCUGUGAUCCCAAAAACGAGUCGAAAGACUUUCUGCAAGUGGAUAUAUAAUCUAAUAGAAAAUGAUUGGUGGCAAGUUGUCAAGUGGCAAAACCAACUCCGCUUG